UACGAAGGGUGCAAGCGUUACUCGGAAUUACUGGGCGUAAAGCGUGCGUAGGUGGUUCGUUAAGUCUGAUGUGAAAGCCCCGGGCUUAACCUGGGAAUGGCAUUGGAAACUGGCGGGCUGGAGUAUGGCAGAGGGGGGUGGAAUUCCACGUGUAGCAGUGAAAUGCGUAGAGAUGUGGAGGAACACCGAUGGCGAAGGCAGCCCCCUGGGCCAAUACUGACGCUCAGGCACGAAAGCGUGGGGAGCAAACAGG
rnacentral:rRNA from 1 species